UACCCAGACUCCUACGGGAGGCAGCAGUGAGGAAUAUUGGUCAAUGGUCGGGAGACUGAACCAGCCAAGCCGCGUGAGGGAUGAAGGUACAGAGUAUCGUAAACCUCUUUUGUCAGGGAACAAAGGCGGGGACGUGUCCCCGGAUGAGUGUACCUGAAGAAAAAGCAUCGGCUAACUCCGUGCCAGCAGCCGCGGUAAUACGGAGGAUGCGAGCGUUAUCCGGAUUUAUUGGGUUUAAAGGGUGCGUAGGCGAACUGCAAGGACAGGGGAAAAACCGCGGGCCCCACCCCCGGCCCGCCGUUGAAACUGGCAGUCUCGAGUUGGAGAGAAGUAUGCGGAAUGCGCGGUGUAGCGGUGAAAUGCAUAGAUAUCGCGCAGAACUCCGAUUGCGAAGGCAGCAUGCCGGCUCCACACUGACGCUGAGGCACGAAAGCGUGGGUAUCGAACAGGAUUAGAUACCCCAGUAA
rnacentral:rRNA from 1 species